rnacentral:rRNA from 1 species
UACGUAGGUGGCAAGCGUUGUCCGGAUUUACUGGGCGUAAAGAGCGCGCAGGCGGUCGUUCAAGUCGCGUGUGAAAGCCCCCGGCUCAACUGGGGAGGGUCACGCGAUACUGAUCGACUCGAAGGCAGGAGAGGGUAGUGGAAUUCCCGGUGUAGUGGUGAAAUGCGUAGAUAUCGGGAGGAACACCAGUGGCGAAGGCGGGUUGCUGGGCCGACACUGACGCUGAGGCGCGAAAGCGUGGGGAGCGAACAGG